rnacentral:rRNA from 1 species
UACGGGAGGCAGCAGUGGGGAAUAUUGGACAAUGGGCGCAAGCCUGAUCCAGCAAUGCCGCGUGAGUGAUGAAGGCCUUAGGGUUGUAAAGCUCUUUUACCAGGGAUGAUAAUGACAGUACCUGGAGAAUAAGCUCCGGCUAACUCCGUGCCAGCAGCCGCGGUAAU